rnacentral:lncRNA from 1 species
AAAAAAGUGUUUUUUUUUCCCAAAAAACGAGGCAGAGGCGGUGACCCCCCCUCCAAAAAGCUCAAGAGCCAGCGGGGAGGGGGAUUUUUUUGGGGGUGGGGGCAAGAUUUGGGGUUUGGGGCAAGAUUUUCGCUUGGCGGGCACGGUUUUGGGGACAAAUGCAAUAUUUUUGGGGUUGGGGGCAAGAUUUUGGGGGAUAGGGGCAAGAUUUUGGGGUUGGGGGCAAGGUUUUGGGGCAAAAUUUUGGGGUUUUGGGGCAAGAUUUUCGCUUGGCGGGCAAGAUUUUGGGGACAAAUGCAAUAUUUUGGGGGUUGGGGCAAGAUUUUCGCUUGGCGGGCACGGUUUUGGGGACAAAUGCAAUAUUUUUGGGGUUGGGGGCAAGAUUUUGGGGGAUAGGGGCAAGAUUUUGGGGUUGGGGGCAAGGUUUUGGGGCAAAAUUUUGGGGUUUUGGGGCAAGAUUUUCGCUUGGCGGGCAAGAUUUUGGGGACAAAUGCAAUAUUUUGGGGGUUGGGGGCAAGAUUUUGGGUUUUGGGGCAAGAUUUUGGCUUGGCGGGCACGGUUUGGGGGACAAAUGCAAUAUUUGGGGGGUUUGGGGCAAUAUUUUGGGGUUUGGGGCAAGAUUUUGGGUUUUGGGGCAAGAUUUUUGCUUGGCGGGCACGGUUUUGGGGACAAAUGCAAUAUUUUAGGGUUUUGGGGCAAGACUUUGGGGGGUUUGGGG